rnacentral:rRNA from 1 species
UACGGAGGGUGCGAGCGUUAUCCGGAUUUACUGGGUUUAAAGGGUGUGUAGGCGGGCUUUUAAGUCAGUGGUGAAAUCUCCGGGCUCAACCUGGAAACUGCCAUUGAUACUAUUAGUCUUGAAUUUUGUUGAGGUAGGCGGAAUAAGUCAUGUAGCGGUGAAAUGCAUAGAUAUGACUUAGAACACCAAUUGCGAAGGCAGCUUGCUAAACAAAUAUUGACGCUGAGGCACGAAAGCGUGGGGAUCAAACAGG